rnacentral:rRNA from 1 species
CGGCGGACGGGUAAGUAACACGUGGAUAACCUACCUAUAAGACUGGGAUAACUUCGGGAAACCGGAGCUAAUACCGGAUAAUAUAUUGAACCGCAUGGUUCAAUAGUGAAAGACGGUUUUGCUGUCACUUAUAGAUGGAUCCGCGCCGCAUUAGCUAGUUGGUAAGGUAACGGCUUACCAAGGCAACGAUGCGUAGCCGACCUGAGAGGGUGAUCGGCCACACUGGAACUGAGACACGGUCCAG